rnacentral:rRNA from 1 species
AUUGAACGCUGGCGGCAGGCCUAACACAUGCAAGUCGAGCGGCAGCGGGAAAGUAGCUUGCUACUUUUGCCGGCGAGCGGCGGACGGGUGAGUAAUGCCUGGGAAAUUGCCCAGUCGAGGGGGAUAACAGUUGGAAACGACUGCUAAUACCGCAUACGCCCUACGGGGGAAAGCAGGGGACCUUCGGGACUUGCGCGAUUGGAUAUGCCCAGGUGGGAUUAGCUAGUUGGUUGGGUAAUGGCUCACCAAGGCGACGAGCCCUAGCUGGUCUGAGAGUAUGAUCAGCCACACUGGAACGGCGACAAGGUCCAGACUCCUACGGGAGGCAGCAGUGGGGAAUAUUGCACAAUGGGGGAAACCCUGAUGCAGCCAUGCCGCGUGUGUGGAGAAGGCCUUCGGGUUGUAAAGCACUUUCAGCGAGGAGGAAAGGUUGAUGCCUAAUACGUAUCAACUGUGACGUUACUCGCAGAAGAAGCACCGGCUAACUCCGUGCCAGCCGCCGCGGUAAGAC